rnacentral:lncRNA from 1 species
CCUCUUUCUUUAUACAUAUUUUUAUGAAAAUAUUGUCUAUAUAAACUUAUAUAAACUGGUGGCUGCUCUCUCCAAAACUGUCUUCCCUCCAUUUUAUAUCCAUUGCUACGAUUAGCCGGAACAAUGGAAUCAAACGCUCAUGAUUUCGAGUUCGCCUACAACCAUCCCGAAUUCUCAAACCGCGUGCUCCGGAUCAAGGUCGUGGGGGAGCCUCCCGAUGGCGAGGUUGGCAUCCAGCGGGACACCCACCAUAAGUUUACAAUAUAUAUGUAUAAA